UACGGAGGGUGCUAGCGUUGAUCGGAAUUACUGGGCGUAAAGCGCACGUAGGCGGCUUUUUAAGUCAGAUGUGAAAGCCCCGGGCUCAACCCGGGAAUUGCAUUUGAAACUGGGAAACUAGAGUGUGUGAGAGGGGAGUAGAAUUCCGAGUGUAGCGGUGAAAUGCGUAGAGAUUUGGAGGAAUACCAGUGGCGAAGGCGGCCCCCUGG
rnacentral:rRNA from 1 species